rnacentral:lncRNA from 10 species
CCGCGGGGUGCUCCCGCCGCCGACCCGGGACUGGCAGAGGGUACGCCGCGCCCAAGCCGCUCCUCUGGAUGGCGACAGAGACGGCCUGGCGCGCCCGCAGCCUGGGCCCCCAGCGGGGAGGACGGCCGGGCCAGGUGAAGUUCCUGCACUUGGGCCUUCCGCGUUCCCAUCCACUGCAGCCAGGGCCUGGAAGGCUGGGGAGGGGACGGGGGCGGCAGACGCCUCCUAAGGGCGGCACUGCCAGGCACAGGCACGCAAGUUCCCUCCGUCCUCUGCCCCAGGAUCACUCUACUCGGGCACCUCUGCCACUGCCCCGUGCUUGCCCUCCUGGUUCAUCUCCCUGGAGUCCCUGCAGGACCAGCUGUCGGUGGCGUCUCUGGGCUCCCAGUCCCGGGACUGGUCCUAUCGAGGUUCGUGCACACGGCUGGUAGAACCCCUCCUCUGGAACUCACAAGAUCUUCUCCAUCCUGCAUAGGGCCGGGGGCUGGAGCACCCCAGGAGGUUCUUUUGGAGCUGGAGACCCUUUUCUGAGGAGCCAGUAGAGGGCCUACGAGUCAGAUGGAGCGACCAGGGAGAAGCAGCAUCAUGCCUUCAUCUUGAGGCCUGGUCCAGGGAGGUGAAGGGAUGUGGACUGUCCCCAGCCCUACACUCACACACAACUCAUGCAUGUAAGCAUUCACGCCCCACGCACACACUGCACCACACGCACACACAUGUAUUUUCCUUGAAUCUCUCUCUCUCUCUCACACACACACACACACACACACACACACACACACACACACACACACUUUCUCAUCCACACACACAAACACUUUAGGAGAAACUGAGCAAAGAAAGGCAUGCUCUCACUGCAAGUCCUCUCACUCACACCCCAGUGGUUGAUGUGCACUGAAGCGUCCUUGCCAGGGUCUCUGACGAGAUUCUUGCGUUAAUAUGAUUGUGUCCAGGCUUGUUUUCUCCCAUCAAUUUUCAGUCCUGUUUAAUUAAAACACCGACUUUGCUGUUUAGUAUCCUCUCAACUGCAGCUUCUCCCUGCUCUCUUUCCUGGCAGGGAGGUGAUUCUGCAGAAGUUGGGGCUCCUGACAACUUUGGGGUGGCCAUGAGGGACACACCCCUUGCCUCUGGAUGUGCUGGGUAGUCCUGGCACCCUGGCAGGGAGGGUCUCCCUCAAUGGGAUUCCGUGGAGCCACCAUCGAUGCCCAGGUCUCCACCUCGACAAUUUCAUUCCUUUCAUUGAAGCCUUUUUUCCUCCUAAAAAGGAUGUGGCUUUUAAAAUGUUACAGAUUCCAGUUCAUCCUGUCCAUCCUGAACUCCUGUGCCAGACAUUCCUUCAUUCAACCUCUUUAUUGUGUACCUACUUGUGCCAGGCACUGGGACUGGUGAAGCCACCAAGACCUAGAUUUUCUGUCCCCUGGAAAGUGGCAGUCAGUUUGAGAAACAGACAAGGAAACAAACAAUUCCAGUGCAAUGUGGCAAGUGUCACAGUGGGAGGGAGAGGAGAGCA